GCUCCGGUGGUGGAAUUGGUAGACACAAGAGACUUAAAAUCUCUCGAUCCGUAGGAUCGUGCCGGUUCAAUUCCGGCCCGGAGCACCA
rnacentral:tRNA from 1 species